rnacentral:rRNA from 1 species
AAUCCAUAGGUUAAUGAGGCGAACCGGGGGAACUGAAACAUCUAAGUACCCCGAGGAAAAGAAAUCAACCGAGAUUCCCCCAGUAGCGGCGAGCGAACGGGGAGGAGCCCAGAGCCUGAAUCAGCAUGUGUGUUAGUGGAAGCGUCUGGAAAGGCGCGCGAUACAGGGUGACAGCCCCGUACACAAAAGCGCAUGUGCUGUGAGCUCGAUGAGUAGGGCGGGACACGUGGUAUCCUGUCUGAAUAUGGGGGGACCAUCCUCCAAGGCUAAAUACUCCUGACUGACCGAUAGUGAACCAGUACCGUGAGGGAAAGGCGAAAAGAACCCCGGCGAGGGGAGUGAAAAAGAACCUGAAACCGUGUACGUACAAGCAGUGGGAGCACAGGUUUACCUGUGUGACUGCGUACCUUUUGUAUAAUGGGUCAGCGACUUAUAUUCUGUAGCAAGGUUAACCGUAUAGGGGAGCCGUAGGGAAACCGAGUCUUAACCGGGCGUUAAGUUGCAGGGUAUAGACCCGAAACCCGGUGAUCUAGCCAUGGGCAGGUUGAAGGUUGGGUAACACUAACUGGAGGACCGAACCGACUAAUGUUGAAAAAUUAGCGGAUGACCUGUGGCUGGGGGUGAAAGGCCAAUCAAACCGGGAGAUAGCUGGUUCUCCCCGAAAGCUAUUUAGGUAGCGCCUCGUGAAUUCAUCUCCGGGGGUAGAGCACU